ACACGUCAUUGUUGCUGGCGUUUGAACUUCAAAGCGGCGAAGUGAAAGCACAUUUCAUCGCGUAUCUUCUUCUGCCAUGAGUUCCCAACCUCUGUCACCAAGCAAUUUCAGGGAUCUCUUCGAUUCCGUGGAAGCUUUUCUCUUCGAUUGCGACGGUGUGAUUUGGAAGGGCGAUGAACUCAUCCAAGGCGUUCCGCAAACUCUCCAAAUGCUUCGCUCCAAGGGAAAGAAGCUCAUCUUCGUCACCAACAAUUCCUGGAAGUCGCGCUCUCAGUACGCUCAAAAGUUCCAAUCCUUAGGAAUUUCCGCUUCGCAGGACGAGAUAUUCUCCUCGUCGUUUGCAGCUGCUAUGUACUUGAAGGCCAAUGAUUUCCCUUCCCAAAACAAGGUUUAUGUGAUUGGUGGGGACGGUAUACUGGAGGAGUUGCAGCUUGCUGGCAUUACAGCGUUUGGUGGACCACAUUCGUUGGUGCAGGAAGAUGCAAAUAAAGCGAUAGACCUGACGCAGAACUGCUUUGUUAAGCAUGAUAAGAGUGUUGGCGCUGUAGUGGUUGGUAUAGACCCAAACAUUAACUAUUACAAGCUUCAGUACGGAACCCUUUGCAUACGAGAAAAUCCAGGAUGCCUUUUUAUUGCCACCAACCGUGAUGCAGUUGGACAUAUGACAGCUUUGCAAGAAUGGCCUGGUGCAGGGUGUAUGGUUGCUGCUAUAUGUGGAUCAACCCAGAAGGAACCUGUUGUGGUAGGGAAACCAUCAACCUUUAUGAUGGAGUUUUUACUUAAGAAAUUCAACGUAAGUUGCUCCAAGAUGUGCAUGGUGGGUGAUAGACUAGAUACUGAUAUUUUGUUUGGACAAAAUGCUGGUUGCAAAACACUUCUAGUUCUUUCAGGUGUCACAACUCAAUCAGCUUUACAGGACCCUUCAAAUAAUAUUCAACCUGAUUACUACGCAAAUACAAUUUCUGACAUGGUUGACUUAUCAAAAGUAUGAAUGGGUUCUUCCCAAUUUAGACAUUCUUUUAUACCAAUAUGGUGGUUUGCACCAAGCAUUAAUGGAAGAGAGAUUGGUUGCUCUCCUUUGCGAAGCAGAACUAUUUUAUAAUUGCACUGUAUACUCAUUUCUUCACGACGAGGGGAAAUUACUCGUUCUGGUUAGGUGAAGUCUUAUCAGAAAGAUGACUCUUCAGGUUUUAACUCCGAAAUUUUUGGUAAAAUUCACUUGGAUACACUCCACUGUCACAAACAUCACUGUGAUCAUUUCAACAUUCACAUGCUUGCCAUGGUUUGGUUUCAUGAUAUGAGCCACGUCAGGAAUGGCAACAUAAGUUGUAACUGGGACAUCAUACAUGUCAUGAUACUAAAUCCUUCGAGAUCAAUAUCCUUAUUUGAGAUCAAUAUCCUUAUUUGUAGAAAUUCUUAGUGGGUGAUUAUUUUUUUUUACGUAUUAUAAAUUGUAAUUUUUUUUAUUUAAUAAUAUAAGUUUUCAUUGUUCUCUUUCA